AAUUAAAAUAUCGCUUGACUAACUAAAAUGAAAUAAAUUAAAAAACUAAACAGUAAUAUUAAAAUAUUAAAUAAUUUUAAAUAAUUAAUUCAGAAUAAUCUAUAAUCCAGAUAAGAAUCCAUAAUUCAGAUAAAUUUAGCAUAUUUUUACCUCAUAAAAAUUCACACCUCCUUUUUUUAUGUACAAAAAUAGAGGCACAUUACUAAAAUAAUAUUUUUUACUACUUUUUUAAGAAAAGCUAUCUCAUUGUAAAUAAAGAAAUAGGAAAUUUAAAGUGCUUUUUGUGGUGCUUAUAUUUUUCUAACUUUUUGUUUCAGAAACGCGUAUAUAUACUUCAAAACUCUUUGUUUCAAUCCUUUUCGCCAAUAAAUACAAUUCAAAAUGUUAAAUUCAAACUCAAAAAAGAAAAAAAACUAAGACGGUGAUAAAAUCAAAUGAGAGCACGGCGAUCGAUUAAAAAAAACCGUUACAAAAGAUUAUACAUCCGAAGAACUCUACGAUACGAUGCAGCCAUAAUUAACGCCCACAAUACCUCGGUAAAUUACGGGAAUGCCACUCCUCGUCGUCGUCCUCCUCGUCGUUCGCUUACCAGCCAUGGAUGAUCUCGGAGCACUUCUCCUUGAUCCACCGAAAGCCCCUGCGGAACGUCGCCUUCACCCUCCCCUCCGCCGCGUACGCCUUGUAGCUCGCCACGCGCCUCCGCCGCCUCAUCUCGGGGUCGCCGAAGCACCACGCCCCCGCGCCCGCCGCCGCCGCCGCCGCCGCCGACGACGACGACGAAGACGGCGGCGGCUGCGGGAGCGCUNN
rnacentral:lncRNA from 1 species